rnacentral:tRNA from 1 species
GGGCCCGUAGCUCAGGUGGUUAGAGCACCGUGCUGAUAACGCGGGGGUCAGCGGUUCGAAUCCUCUCGGGCCCA